GGGUUGGACCAUGAACUUGUAUUCACACCAAACGCAAGACUCAGGAGGAUGUGGAGGGAAAGAGCCUGGAACCCAGUGAAACCUUGAUUUUAAUGGGUUUUAUAGUCCAUAGAAAGUCCAUUUAGCAUCGUAAGUCUGUGGCUUCUGUUCUCGUGACGCAGGCGUGUUGACUCUAUGGUGCAGUGCAUGCUCCCUUCAUGGCUGUAGGAGUGGAGAGGAUGCGGAGUCCGUUCAGAUUUCACACGCAUGGAGAUGCUCACUGCUGUGUUGUUUGUGAAAAACUGCACUUGGCCUGAUUGCUGAUCAGAAACUGACUCAAAUACUGCAGGGAUCAAUUUAAAUAUUGCUGUGCAUCCCCUGCCCUGUGCAGACAAGAAAAAGCAGGUACAACAACAGAAGACUGAGACGAUAAAUUCCUGCUGUACGGGCCGCGGAAUCUGAGGUGAAACUCAAAGAGCAGAAGAAAGAUGCACGCUUAGUUAGGUCCCUCCUCUAGCAGGUUCAAGAAGCCCAAGAAGCUGAGCUGCCGAGACUCUUGAGACCCGGACCAGCUGCCUGGAAGAAGUUCAGACCAACUGAGGCACCUGGAAGGACACUCCCCAUCCCGCUGCGCUGCCUACAGAUCAGACACGACAACAGAUGGCACAUUUCCUGCCUCAGAGGAAGAAGACAUAAAAGUUCUUAAAAGAUCCCAUCCAGGUACCUUGUCCUUGGCCCAGAGAACCAAGAAUUCUUAGGAAACAAGAGGAAGUUUGGAUUCUAGCUUUCUUUCCGGACCACUGCAACGCCCAGAGGGCGCCCUCACCUCGAGCGGUGGCCGCAGGGUGUCGGCCCUUUCUCAUCCCUGACAGCUGUUAAACUAGAGCAGCGGACCACAUGGAAAGCAGUUGAAGCCUCCGCUUUUUAUUACUCUGACUAUUCCAUGAGAACAAAAAUGGUGACUCGGAGGGUCGUGAUGAGGACUAAAUGAGAAUGUAUGUGAAACUCUUGCUCAUUAUUAAUGUAAUCAUUCCUCUAAGUGGU